rnacentral:rRNA from 1 species
AUGCCUGGCGACAAGGCGCCUGGGCCGGAUGGCUUCACCGGCCUCUUCUUCAAGAUGUGUUGGGGCAUCAUUAAGCACGACCUCAUGAGGAUGAUUCAAUGCUUUGACUCCCUCCACACAACAAAUCUUCACUGGCUCAACUCUGCGAAUAUUGUCCUGCUUCCCAAGAAGGAUGGGGCGGAGAGCAUCGUAGACUAUAGGCCUAUCAGUCUCAUUCAUGGAAUCGCUAAGAUCAUUGCGAAAGUGCUUUCCAUCAGGCUCGGACCGCACAUGUCUGCCCUCGUCUCCAACACUCAAAGUGCUUUCAUCAAAACACGGAGCAUCCACGACAACUUCAUGUAUGUUUGA